CUUUACACCAAAUGCAGGAUACACAAACAAGGAACCUCAGGGAGAAGACACCAACAGCAGAGUAACUUUAGGGUGUUUGGGAACUUCAGGAUGGAAAACAGCUGGUCAUCUUCAUUUAAGGACCUCGCCUCCAUGUCUCAAUGUGCCCUUCUCAUGAGUAAAGCUUCCCAGAGCAGGUGGAUGGGAACCUAGGAGUCCUAAUGCCACUUUAUCCAACUCUAAUGAGAAUGAUUUCCCUCAACCAGCAAGCAUUCUAAAGUCCUUGGGGUUGUCAAGUGCACAGCCCCCUGGGCUAGCUCACUCUGAGGAGAGGGCCAUCAACCUCAGCUACGGUCAUUACACACAGUCUUCACAAAGAGGAUAGUCAGCAGUGAGGUCCUACUCAAGGGACAGGAGCUGGAGAUACCAUUGCUGCUUAGGAUAGAUGAACAAUUGCUUGAGGGGACUGACCAUAGCCCACCCAGACUCAAGCAUAUCUGAGACAGAAGGCCUCCAGAGCUCUGCUGAUGGACAGAUUUUUUUUUCUUUUUCUGCAAAGUCUGGUCCAGGGGAAGGAGGCCAGCCAGUCUGCAGCCAGCUGGAACCAGUGCUUUAUGACUGGUGUGAGUCACUGAGCUCUGCAAAUAGCAUGUUGUGUACAUGACAGCAUGGCUUACUGGAUGCACCCACUGCCCAGGAGGAGAAUUUCAAAUCUGUCAAAAACAUACUGGAGAUGCCGGAAUAGGAAAUGUAUCUGUAAAUAUAAAAUUCUGGUAAUAACAUGACAAAAUUGAAGAUGGGAAAUAAAGACUAAGGAGAAGUGAGCAUC